rnacentral:rRNA from 2 species
CGGGGGGGGGGUUGCCUAAUACAUGCAAGUCGAGCGAAUCGAUGGGAGCUUGCUCCCUGAGAUUAGCGGCGGACGGGUGAGUAACACGUGGGCAACCUGCCUAUAAGACUGGGAUAACUUCGGGAAACCGGAGCUAAUACCGGAUACGUUCUUUUCUCGCAUGAGAGAAGAUGGAAAGACGGUUUACGCUGUCACUUAUAGAUGGGCCCGCGGCGCAUUAGCUAGUUGGUGAGGUAAUGGCUCACCAAGGCGACGAUGCGUAGCCGACCUGAGAGGGUGAUCGGCCACACUGGGACUGAGACACGGCCCAGACUCCUACGGGAGGCAGCAGUAGGGAAUCUUCCGCAAUGGACGAAAGUCUGACGGAGCAACGCCGCGUGAACGAAGAAGGCCUUCGGGUCGUAAAGUUCUGUUGUUAGGGAAGAACAAGUACCAGAGUAACUGCUGGUACCUUGACGGUACCUAACCAGAAAGCCACGGCUAACUACGUGCCAGCAGCCGCGGUAAUACGUAGGUGGCAAGCGUUGUCCGGAAUUAUUGGGCGUAAAGCGCGCGCAGGUGGUUCCUUAAGUCUGAUGUGAAAGCCCACGGCUCAACCGUGGAGGGUCAUUGGAAACUGGGGAACUUGAGUGCAGAAGAGGAAAGUGGAAUUCCAAGUGUAGCGGUGAAAUGCGUAGAGAUUUGGAGGAACACCAGUGGCGAAGGCGACUUUCUGGUCUGUAACUGACACUGAGGCGCGAAAGCGUGGGGGAGCAAACAGGAUUAGAUACCCUGGUAGUCCACGCCGUAAACGAUGAGUGCUAAGUGUUAGAGGGUUUCCGCCCUUUAGUGCUGCAGCUAACGCAUUAAGCACUCCGCCUGGGGAGUACGGCCGCAAAGCUGAAACUCAAAGGAAUUGACGGGGGCCCGCACAAGCGGUGGAGCAUGUGGUUUAAAUUCGAAGCAACGCGAAGAACCUUACCAGGUCUGACAUCUCUGACAACCCUAGAGAUAGGGCUUUCCUCUUCGGGGACAGAGUGACAGGUGGUGCAUGGUUGUCGUCAGC